rnacentral:lncRNA from 1 species
UUAUGGAAAGUAGGAAGAUUUUUCGAAAGGGUAAAAGUAUCGUUCAUGGUCGUACUGGCCCACUAAGAGGAGAUGCAUUUAACGAAAAUGAUGAAAAAAAAAAUGCAUGGGACAAUGAGAAUUUGAAUACUCUUCCUGCUAAUAAGAAUUAUAACAUACCAAAACCUAGUAUGAAUAAUAAUAAUAAUAAUAAUAGUAGUAGUAGUAGUAUAAAAAAUGAAGCAAAUGAUGAGGUACAAAAAAAUAAAAAUAAUACAGAUGUAAAUACUGAAGAAGCAAUAAAUCCCCAUUUUAAUGCUACUACUGAUGAACAUACAAGUAAUGAUAUUUUUGAACAAUUGUUACAACGAGAAUUAGCGAAGGGAGCUUAUGGUGGAGGUGUUAUUGAAAAAAAAUGCUAAUAAAUUGAAAGAAAAUGUUGCAAAUGUAAAAACUGUAAGUAGUAGUAACAAUAUGAACAUAGAUAAUAAUGAAAAUAAAAACUUUAACCCAAAUAUGGGUAAUGCUAUUGAUGGUGAUGGAGAAGAUUUAAGCAAAAUAGAUUUAAUGACUCGAAUAAACAGUUCUUUAGUUAGACAUCGAAUGCAUGGAUAUAGUGAAGUUUUACUUUGUUUUGGUACAAGUGAGGAUGAAAAUGAUGAAAAUUUUGAAAACAUUGAUGAGAAUAAAAUAAAUAAAGAAAUAGAUUUAGUUAAUAGCGUAUUUAAGGAUGAUGAUAUGAUUUUAAAAUAUUUAUCAGAUAAUAAUACUAUAUGUCAAAUAAAAGCAGCAGAAAUGAUUGAUGAAUACUUAAGUGCUCUUAAAAGAAUUCAUAUUUAUAAUAUAAUAAAUAAUAAUAGUAAUAUUAAUAAAGAAGAAAUAAUGAAUUCUUUUGUAAAUGAAAAUAGGAAUAAAUUAUUUAAUUUAUUUAGUAAGAUAUAUAGUGUAUUAUGUGAAAAGGUAUUAACAAAUAAUAAAUCAUUUGAUAGUGGUUUUAAUAUUGUAAGUAAAAUAAUAGAAUUUUGUUCUAAUGAAAAAACAACUGUAAAUAUUUUGACCUUACUCUCUGAUCAUUUAAAUAAUAUAUGGUUAAAAGCAAAUAAAUCAAUAUCUAAUAUAAAAGGAGUAAAAAUAAAAGUAGUCUCUUCCAUUAUUUUAUUAUAUUAUAAAUUAGUUGCUUCAUUUGGGGUAAAUAUUAUAUGUGUUAGAACAAUAAACAGAUGUUGUUUAAAAUUUAAUGAAAUGGUAGAUAAAACAGUUAAAACUAAUUUUUAUUUAUUAUACAUUGAAAUAUUUAAACAAAUUAAAAAUCCUGAUUUUCAAAACAGUAUACUAAACGAAUUACAUGUCCAACAAAAAAAACCAUAUAUUAAAAGAGUUACAAAAA